rnacentral:lncRNA from 1 species
UGGUUAGAGCGGCGUGUGCACGACGAUCACGUUGAAUGAGGGCCUUGUCUUCGUCAGUGAAGGUAGUAGCAUCGUUGUUAGUAACUACCGCAUCUCCUCUAACUACCGUGGGAACUCGGCGAAUUUGUUGAUUAUGCGAUAAAACACUUAGCGAUUUGAAUUAGUUCGCUAUAUUCAACGCCAAGAUCGCUGUAUUCAAAAGAUAAGUUCGCUGUAUUCA